rnacentral:rRNA from 1 species
AUGAGUGGGUGGUAUGACCUUGAAGACCAGCUUUCAACCAUCUACACUGAUGAAGAGGCCUACUGGCGUCUAUGUGGUACCCAACGGUGGGUACUCCGGGGAGAUGCCAACACCGCCUAUUUCCAGGCAGUGGCGAACGGUCGCCGGCGCCGCAACUCCAUCCACUGCCUCUGGGAUGGAGAGACCCCUCUCGUUCGCCCCUCGGCCAUCCGUUCCCAUGUGGAUGGCUUCUACAAGGCCCUAUUUACCCCCACCCCUCGGGGUGGGGCUAGUCUCGCCCCCGACAUUUGGUCCGGUGCUCAAUUGGUCUCGGAUGCGGCCAAUGCUGCUUUAGUGGCCCCCUUCGCCGAAGAUGAGGUUCUCGAGGCUAUUAAAGGGAUGACCCCCUCCUCGGCCCCGGGUCCGGAUGGCCUACCAGUGACGUUUUUUAAGACGUUCUGGCCGACCAUCAAACCGGAGGUCAUGGCCCUGUUCGAGGAAUUCUUCUCAGGCACUAUGGAUCUUGGGCGCCUCAACUACGGCAUCGUGAUCCUCAUCCCCAAGGUCCCGGGCGCCUCCGACAUCCGCCAAUUUCGACCAAUCACCGUGAUCAAUGUGAUAUUUCGGAUCUUGGCCAAAGGGUACACCAAUAUGGUGACUCUGCUCGUGGACACGAUUACCCACCCGAAUCAAUCCGCCUUCAUUAAAGGCCGAUUUAUUCUUGAUGGGGUUCUGGUAUUCCACGAAGUCCUUCACGAGGUCCGACUGAGACACCAUCGGGUGGUGUUUCUGAAGCUCGACUUCCACAAGGCCUAUGACACGGUCCACUGGCCCUUCUUGCGGGAAGUGUUGCUUCGCAAGGGCUUCGAUGACCGUUGGGUGACUAGGGUCAUGCAGCUUGUCUCCUGCGGACGGACUGCUAUGAACAUCAACGGGGACAUCGGCCCUACUUCCCCACCCUCUGCGGGGUUCACCAGGGCGACCCUUUCUUGCCUUUUCUGUUUAACAUGGUGGUUGAUGCCCUGGCGUCCAUCCUUGAUAAGGCCAAGUAUGCUGGCCAUAUUCAUGGUAUCGUCCCUCACCUCGUCGGAGGGGGAGGGGUCUCCCUGA